rnacentral:rRNA from 1 species
AGCAGCCGCGGUAAUUCCAGCUCCAAUAGCGUAUAUUAAAGUUGUUGCAGUUAAAAAGCUCGUAGUUGAAUUUCGGGGUUCUACCGUUGGUCGGGCAAUAGUCUGUACUGGCGUGCGGAAUUUCUACCUUCUGGGGAACCAUCAUGUUAUUUAUUUAGCGUGGUGGGAAACCAGGACCUUUACCUUGAAAAAAUUAGAGUGUUCAAAGCAGGCUUACGUCUGAAUACAUUAGCAUGGAAUAAUAAAAUAGGACGGUGGUCCUGUUUUGUUGGUUUCUGAAUCACCGUAAUGAUUAAUAGGGAUAGUUGGGGGCAUUAGUAUUCAAUUGUCAGAGGUGAAAUUCUUGGAUUUAU